rnacentral:rRNA from 1 species
GACGAACGCUGGCGGCGUGCUUAACACAUGCAAGUCGAACGGAAAGGCCCUGCUGUUGUGGUGUGCUCGAGUGGCGGACGGGUGAGUAACACGUGAGUAACCUGCCCGUGACUUUGGGGUAACCUCCGGAAACUGGGGCUAAUACCUGAUAGGAGCUCCUUCUGCAUGGUAUGGGUUGGAAAGUUUCGGCGGUUGGGGAUGGACUCGCGGCUUAUCAGCUUGUUGGUGGGGUAGUGUCUUACCAAGGCUGUGACGGGUAGCCGGCCUGAGAGGGUGACCGGCCACAUUGGGACUGAGAUACGGCCCAGACGGCUACGGGAGGCAGCAGUGGGGAAUAUUGCACAAUGGGCGGAAGCCUGAUGCAGCAACGCCGGGUGCGGGAUGACGGCUUUCGGGUUGUAAACCGCUUUUGCCUGUGACGAAGAGUGAGUGACGGUAAUGGGUAAAGAAGCACCGGCUAACUACGUG